UGCCUGCGGGAGCGCGCGGGCCGGCGCGAGGAGCCGGGCGCCUGCAGCGGCGGGCCCGGCGCGGUUGCUAGGCGACGGCGCCCGGCAGCGGCGCUGGCCCGGCUGGGGCGCGGGCAGCGAUGAGGCGGCGGCAGCGCCGGCCCCCGGGCUCUCGGCAGCGCUGAGCCCCGCUCCGCGCCUUCCCCUCGCGGCCCGCCCUGGCUUUGCUCCACCGCCCCCAUCCUCCUCCGCUCCCCUCGCUCCGGCCUGCCCUUCCCCCUCCAUGCGGCGGGAGCGGCCGGAGUGGGGCCCCCGCCGCGGCCGCGCCGAGCCCCGCCGUCCGUCGCCUCUCCGCCGCCAGAGCCCGCAGGGAGCCGCGGGCGGUGUCUGCAGCGACAGCAGCGGGGACUUCAUGUUGGUGUUGUUUAUGCCAGAACACAGUAAGCAAGGCGAAUUACCUUCAGCCCCGUGUAAACCUUCAGCUGGCCAACACAAUGUGAUCGAGCAUGAAUUCCGCGUGGCUUUGGAAAUGAAAGAGAACUGAGCGCUCUGGCUGGAAGCUGAACGUGAUGACGGCCUGGUCUAUGGUAGGGAAGCUGAAAAUGGAGAAGAGGCGCUCCAGAAAAGCCAGAAACGUGGAACAAGAUGCUGGGGAGUGCAGUGCUGAAUCUGAGGAAUGGACGAGCUCAGACAGUGAACCUGAGCAGCCGUACUUCAGGAGCAGCUGCAGCAACACUCCGUGGAGAGAAAAGGAGGUUCCCGCUAAACCACAUCGGCCGCUCUGUCGGUCCCCUUGUUUGGAUCGCCCAAGCUUUUCGCAGAGCAGUAUUACACAAGACUUGAAGCUAGAUGAAUGCAAAACAAAUUUGGACAAGGAAUACCAAGCUAAAAUGGAUUUUGCUUUAAAGCUUGGGUAUGCAGGAGAUCAGAUCCAGGCUGUACUGAAUAAAUUGGGAGCAGAUGCGCUCAUCAAUGAUGUUCUGGCAGAGCUUGUGAGACUUGGCAACAAAAGUGAAUCGGAGGGACAAGGCAGUGGCAGCAGUGCCACUGGUGCUCUGGUGCCCCGAGGCCCUUGCCCAAAGGAGAUAGCGAGCCCUGAACUGUCGCUGGAGGAUGAAGUUGUGGACAACAGUGAUAACCUGAGGCCGAUUGUCAUUGACGGGAGCAAUGUGGCUAUGAGCCAUGGGAAUAAAGAAGGAUUUUCCUGUCGGGGAAUUCAACUGGCUGUUGACUGGUUUCUGGAAAAAGGACAUAAAGAUAUCACUGUGUUUGUACCUGCAUGGAGAAAGGAGCAGUCUCGACCUGAUGCACCGAUUACAGAUCAAGAAAUCUUACGUAAAUUGGAGAAAGAAAAAAUCCUUGUUUUUACCCCAUCUCGAAGAGUUCAGGGAAGAAGAGUAGUUUGCUAUGAUGAUCGAUUCAUAGUAAAACUUGCUUUUGACUCGGAUGGCAUCAUUGUAUCAAAUGACAACUAUCGGGAUCUUCAAAAUGAAAAGCCAGAAUGGAAGAAGUUCAUAGAGGAACGGCUGCUAAUGUAUUCGUUUGUGAAUGACAAGUUUAUGCCUCCUGAUGAUCCUUUAGGACGCCAUGGUCCAAGCCUUGAAAAUUUCUUAAGGAAAAGGCCAGUUAUUCCUGAACAUAAGAAACAACCAUGUCCUUAUGGUAAAAAGUGCACCUAUGGGCACAAAUGUAAAUAUUACCACCCAGAACGGGCAAACCAGCCUCAAAGGUCAGUAGCGGAUGAACUUCGAAUAAGUGCCAAAUUAUCUGCUGUGAAAACUAUGAGUGAGGGAGCCUUGGCCAAAUGUGGCACAGGGCCGUCCAGCUCCAAAGGAGAAAUCAGUUCUGAAGUGAAACGCAUUGCCCCAAAACGUCAGUCAGAUCCGAGCAUUAGAUCAGUAGCUGUGGAGCCCGAGGAAAAGUUGUCAGUAGCACGCAAGUCCGAGGCCAGCUCUGUCCCGUCUCUGGUGACCGCACUGAGUGUGCCAACGCUCCCUCCACCAAAAAGCCAUGCAGCUGGUGCGUUAAAUACUCGUUCGGCAAGCAGUCCGGUGCCAGGUUCCUCACAGUUCAUGCAUCAGAAAUCCUCACUGGAACACAUGUCCAGUGUGCAAUAUCCUCCUAUACUAGUCACCAAUAGUCAUGGCACCUCAGUUAGCUAUACUGACCAGUAUCCCAAAUACGAAUCGUUGGGGGACCACGGCUAUUAUUCCUUACUCAGUGAUUUCUCCAACUUGAGCAUAAGUAGUAUCCGUAACACAGAUUAUUACGGGGCUGAUAUGGACCAGGGGAUGUAUUCUAGAAACUCAAGCCCCUGUCCUGACAAUUGCUUAAGCCAUACAAGUAAUGAUUCUUAUUCCUCUUACAAUGACUUGUAUCUGGGUGUAGCAGAUGCCAGUCCAGAAGACAAUGUGAAGAUCCACAGACUGCCAUCGCAAAAUCGUCUUCAGCCUUUUUCCCAUGGUUACCAUGAAGCCUUAAAUAGAGCUCAGAGUUACGGAGCUGAGGAGCCCAAGCAAUCCCUUCGCAAACAGUCAGUGUCCCACUUAGGCCUACAUGCCCAGCAUCCAGUUGUUGGAGCACGGUCCAGUUGUCCAGGGGAAUAUGCUGUGCCUCAAAAUGUUCAUCCAUCGGCUGCGCAACCAAGCCGUGCCUUGGUCAUGACCAGAAUGGACAGUAUUUCUGACUCACGACUCUACGAAAGUAACCCCGCGAGGCAGAGACGGCCACCGCUCUGUCGAGAGCAGCACGCGAGUUGGGACCCGCUGCCGUGUGCAUCAGACUCCUACACCUACCACUCGUAUCCGCUGAGUAACAACCUCAUGCAGCCAUGCUAUGAACCCGUCAUGGUGAGAAGCAUGCCUGAGAAGAUGGAGCAGCUCUGGAGACAUCCCUGGAUUGGGAUAUGUGGUGAGCCACGGGAGCCCCAUAUCAUUCCAGAGCACCAGUAUCAGACGUACAAGAACCUCUGCAAUAUUUUCCCUCCCAGCAUUGUCCUUUCUGUGAUGGAAAAGAACCCCCACAUGACAGAUGCGCAACAGCUGGCAGCUAUGAUUGUUGCCAAAUUAAGAACAGGGCGUUAAAGCAUUACAGCUUGUUUUGGAUAAAUGGAAAUAUACAGCGUACAGGACCCGGAGGAAAACUAAUAUGAAGAAGGAAGAUGCAAAUCUAUUGUAAAUAUUUUCUACUAAGAUAGUAUAAAAUUCUGUACACGGUAGCAAGCAUACAUAUGCUGAGGCACUACACAAGAGUUGAUUGUAUUGUAAAUUUUAAGAUUUUAAAUAUAGGGAUUUCUAGUGGUAUUUUAUAGGAAAUGCAUACCUUGGUGCAUGGAUAGCUCAUUAAAAACUACAAUGUCACGUUCCGUGUCUCAAAGCUGUUACUACAAAAUUAUUGUUAGCAAUUAUACUGCAUGGUUUAGUGUACACUUUCAAUUUGCUUACAAGUACCUAAUCGGCUUUAAAGGUAUGCUCUAUGCACGCCCAGAUGACCCAGGGUUUCAGCUUUGUCAUUUGACACGGCCUACUGGCAUAUUAAAUAUUGGAGAAAAAGUAAACUUGACAAAAAUUAAAAUACUCAGUUUGUAAAAGGAAAGACUGAUUUCAGCUUUUGAAUGUCAGUAUUGUUGGCACUUAAAUUUCAAAACUGUUCCCCAAGACUGUCUGUUACAUUGUCCAGCAUGUUGGCUCAAUCCAACAGAAGCCAAAUACUUUAUUCAGUUAGGACCAAAACAUUGAGUGUGCGGGCAUGAGCGCCUUUCAGCGAACCGGGCUGUUGGGCUGCAGCUCCUCUCCGCAGAGCGGCCGCGGGCCCGGAGCAGCGCCCGGCGGCGCUGGGAGCUGGGGCGGAGCUGGCGGCCGCUGGGCGGGCUGUGGGGAGGGGCGGGGCAGCUUCUGGGAAAGAGCCGCUGCGGUGGGAGCUGUCGGAGCUGGCCCGUGCUCUCCAGGUCCAAGGGUGUGCAUUUGCCUCCCGAGGGCUCUUAGAGUUCCUGUUUCGACAGGCUGGCAUUCCAAGCCCGAGACCAGAUGUCAUGACCAAACACGUGCGGUGUGCUGAAGGGACCUGCCACCACAGCGGGCCAGCCCCCCCAGGGUGACCACAGAGCAGGCGCCCCCCGCUGGUUCAGCGCACGCCAGCCCCGGCAGCACAGCCACAGCUGUGCCUGCACAGCAUCGUCCCAGAUAUAUAUAGAAACAUAAAUAAAUAUAUAGAGAGAGAGUACACUGCUCCUGGAGCCUCAGAUCACUCCAGACAGCGCUGCAAUGAGCAGACCGAGCAGCUGGGAGCUGCGGCCAUUUGGGAUCCGGGUACAUAACAGAUGUGCUCAGCACUGACUGAGCAUCAAACAUGGACCUGCGGCCGCCACAGAGACUGGAAAAAUCCUGGUGCAAAACCAACCAGCUGGAAACCUCCUCAGCGAUACACUAUAUUGCAGUAUUAGAGUCCUGUUAACAGAGUUCCUGUGACACGUUUCAAGUAAGUAAAGCUCUUCUGUGCCUCUGUUCCUGGAGUGAAACACUCAGUUUGCCAGUUUAAACAGUUCUAAAGAGUUAGGAACAGAAAACAAAGUAUUACUUACUACUUUUGUCUAAGUUUAGAAGGCAUGGGAAUCCUGUGAUGGGAUUAAAAAAGGCCGGCAAGACGACGUGUCUUGUAAACACAGGCUUCUGUUAAGUGAGGAAAUAACUGGGAACAGGGCACUCCUAACAAGUUGCAUGUAACAUAUUUAUUUGUUAUCUGCUACUGUUAUUUGCUACAACUACUAUAUAUCUGGAAAAAAAUGGCACUUCAGGGCCCGAUCUUUCGUGGGAGAUGGGCUUUUCCUAUCCUGAGGAGGCUGCAGCAAAGUUGUCAGUAACAAUUCCAAUUUUGUGCUAAGAAAUGCAUGACAUACAGAAGCUGCAGGCUGAAAAGUUUAAGAAAUGCAAAAAUAAAAGCUCUAUGUUCAAAUGCUAAAAUGUAGUAACUAGGUUAUUGUGCUUUCCAUCUAAAGCUCACAACACUCUCCCAAUUUUCGCAAUAGUACAGAAAAGACUCAUCUUUUUACACACAGAAACCGCCGACGUGCUCACCAGCGUUCACUCUGGCAAUGCCAGUCAGCAGCUCAGAAAUCCAGUUGAUCAGGAACUGGGGCCGCAGCUCUGAAGAGUCAGAACAUUCCUUCAGCUCCAUGAACAUUUUCUCUAUUAGGGUCUGUGUAAAACUUCGGGAAAGGAGGCCUGUGAGCAACGGCUGCCAAAAGCAGUAAAACGUCUGGGGAAUUCUGAAUUGCCAAACCUCUUUAUUUGCUGCAAUUAAAAAAAAAAGAUAAGCCCAGAAUCUCUGGUUUAUAAUUUUUCUCUUCUCACAGGUAUGACAUGUUUUGCAAACUUAAGCAGCUUGUUCUGAGAUCACUGGUUCGAGGGGGCUUCCGGGGACCCCGCUGAACCUGGAACUAUUCUUUUCUUAUGCUAGGGAAGUAAAAUAAGCAGCAAAUUGAUAAUUAACACAACAGCUCAAUGAAAGUAAAAAAUACAAUGCCUGAUCUAAUAACAUGGUAAACUGCAGGAAAAUCUGUUUUCCUAAUCCCUUCCUAGUCUCAGCUUAUUUCACAUGUAAUUCUGUCUAAAAAUAUACUGCCCAAAGAAAGCCCAUUGAGCAAAGCAACACGGAGUCAAAAAACUCCUACAUUUUUACUACUGUUAUACAAUCACAGAAAUGUGAGGAUCUGUCUUGGAAAGCUCUUUGGCUGUUGUUUCAAAGAGCUCCCAGGGAAACACACAAAUUAUUAAUUUUCAUUGCCUCUAGGUAUCUAAGCCUCUUGCAGAACAUCCAUGCAGCUCCACACGUACGGGCAGCAGCACGGAGCUAAGAUGCAACUGGUGAACAAGCCUAAAAAAACCAAAACCCAACACCGUAGAUUUGCUUCAAAUUUUCAAUGUAGAAAAGAAACUAGAGAAAUCAGUAACUACGGCAGAUAAGGGCAGAGACGAAAACUUCAGGAGACGGUUUGGCCAGGCAGCAUUCAGUGCUGCAGAGCUCUUCCAAGGAGAGAGAAGUACCUAAUAACAGCAGCUAAGCGUGGCCAUAAAGUGGUCUGGAGAAGAGGUCAAAAGAUGUUUAAAGACCCAGAUAUAUGAAAAAUACACAGAGAAUUACAGUUUUCAAUACAAUGAGAAAAGGAAAAACCUGAACCAACUUGCACACAACACUAGCUAUGGUGGUGACCAAAUCACUAACCUUCAUACUUGAUAUUGAGCAUCUUCAGACAUUCCAUCUUGGGGAUGAGAAAGCCAUCGCUGAGAAGAGCUUCAGCCACGGCCUCCCUAGAGCAACCAGAGUCUCAUUAAUGCCACUUACGCCUCCGGAUUCCAAACCGCCGCUUGUACCAGAGAGGCCCCUGGGGCAGCACCAGCCCAGCUGCAUUUGUGAUGCACAACAGACUCCACAGGAUGGAACGGUAAACAGCUGCAGCACUUCAGGACAGAUAUGAAGCAAAGCAGAAGCAAUUACCACUAUGGUACUCAAAAAACAACUUCUAGGAACCUCUGUGUUCACUUACAUAAACAUAUACACACAGCCAUAUGUUUAAAGCUUGUGGGGUUGAAGUAAAAGUGACUUCAUUAUAAGCACUUGCACACUCAUUGCUGCUUUGGUAGCAUAAUAAUAUUCAUCUUCUUGAACAAAUGUCAUGGUUGAGAAUGGAUCAGGAGCAGCAGCUACAGAGGGCAGAGCUUUUAUUGAACUUCUGAAGAAUCACAGAAUCAUUUUGGUUGGAAAAGACUUUUAAGAUUAUAGAGUCCAACCAUUAACCUAACACAGCCAAGUCCACUAAAGCACGUCCCUAAGCACCUCACCUGCACGUCUUUCAAACCCCCCCAGGGAUGGUGAUUCCACCACUUGCCUGGGCAGCCUGUUCCAAUGCCUCACAACUCCUUCCAUGAAAAUUUUUUCCUAAUAUCCAACCUAAACCUCCCCUGGUGGAACUUGAGGCCGUUUUGUCUCAUCCUACCACCUGCUACUGGGGAGAAGAGACCAACCCCCUCCAUGCUCCAGCCUCCUCAGGCAGUUGCAGAGGGCGAGAAUGUCUCUCCUCAGCCUCCUGCUCUCCAGGAUAAACAACCCCAGACCCCUCAGCCUCUCCUCAUAGGACAGAGAUUAACAACUCAGUCCUCAAAGAAGCUGAGGAAAUCAACCAACUGCUUUCACCACAACCAGUGGAACAACAUGGUGAAAUGCAGUGCAACAGGUCUACAAGCCCAGCUCUGCAACCUGUGCUUCACCUCAGCUCCUUAUCACAGAUGUACCUGUUCUCUUGCAUGAGGUCUUUGAUCUGAGCCAAAAUCCACUCCACUUCUGAAGAGGAAUCGGACCACAGCUCUCGAGACUUCGACACAGACUGCACAGUCUGCAUAACCUGCAGGAAAGAAAAAGCCAAACAUUAAUGGCAAAUAUGCUCGUGGUGGACAGAAAGUCAUUUCUAUGAAGAGAAGAUGCAUAUGCCACAUGUAUUUCAUCAAUAGCACUUCAAAUACUCACUAAAGUUCCCCUUCCUAGCAGCAUAUUAAAAAUUAAUAUAAACAAUGUCGUACUUCGAAAAGGACUGCAUUAAAAAGGCAGCGUCACCAAGGCAUCACAGUCCGGACGUGCUCAUUCUGGUUCUAAACCUUGCCCUCCCUGACUUCAGCACAAACCAGGACAGAUUUUGAAUCAUUAACUUCACAUGUGGGCUGGGGAUGAGGCUUCCUACUUGGGACACAGUUUUGCCAGUCAUGUUAUGCAUACAGGAAAUCAAAACGUCAAAUCGACACAGCCAUCUAAGCAACCUGAGAUGCUGAGAGCAUCUGAUGAGUGGAAGCAACACACAAACCAGACUACCAAGUUGUACCAAGAAUGGAAGAGAGAAUAUGGAAGGUUAGUACUCAUGUGAAAGCCAGUGAUUUCUUGGUUUGAUUUAUAUGUUAUCUGGGUCUGUCCAGUAGGGCAAGACAUGUCUUCUACUUCUGCUCACAACCUACGCAAGUAACAAUUCUCUCCUCACCACCGCCUAUAAAAUACUGGUAUGAAGCACGUUACAUCACCAAGUAUCUAGCAGAUUCUUUUUGGAAGACAGUAACUACUGAGAGAAAAUAAAUUAUUUUUCCUACCAGGUAGGAAUGUAAUGUAAAAUGAGAAUGGAAAACCAAGGUGUGGUUUUCAUGACUGUGAUUAGCUCUCUUCACCUGCAUCUGCAAAGCUACCACUGCAUGCAAAAGAGACUUUAAUGACAAAUCAAGUAUAAACACAUGACCUAAAGUGACUGAAGAACCUGUAGCCUACCCAUACAAAUAAUCAGACAAGAAAGUCCACAGUCCCCAUGACAAAGCUUAUUUUAUCCUAGAUUACGCCUUACAAAUUUACAUAAAUUUUUAAGUAUAAUAAGUAGUUAACAAAAUAGCUAGAGAAGUAUCUGUAUCAGAGACCGUACAGUUACACUGUUAUGCAGAUGACUCUGAAGCACUGAUAAGAUAUCCCUUCUGUAUCACUGACACUUCUGGACAGAUUCUGACUGGGGAGGAUGCUAAAGGGAGAAAAAAGGGAUCCCUACAGUUAAAUGAAAUAAACUCCUGGCACGGCACCCGAGUCCUGCUCAGGCAUUUCAACCGAGGCCUGUCCACGAGCAGCAGCUCCGCGGACUUAGUGCCCCGAGCAGGGAAGGGGAAGAACACAAUGUGCUGAUGAUCAGACUGCACUUACCCGAAACUGCUCAUUCUUGUAGGAUAUCAGUACAUCUCUGACUUUUUCUGGAAAUAAACAUAAAUAGAUAGUUUAAACAGGGAAUGGAUCAACUAUAAAAGAGAAUUCUGUACCUGGGCAAGCUGCUUUGUUCUGCCAAUUAUGCACUCAAGGAAGACAUCAGUCAAGUGAAGUAAUAAAUCCUGAUUCAGACAACACUGAUGACUCCCAUAGCUUCCAGACUCUGCCAGCAACAUUAAUUUUAUCAAGAGGUUGAUGCAGGAGUUCAGUAUUUUAUCACUAAUAGCAGCCAAAGACAAGCAAGUUCAAUAAAUCCAGAAGAUCCAAAAAAAUGCCUAAAUAGAUCAGCUUAAAAGAAAUUGUUCCUAUUGGCAGUUCAUGUUCUGAUGUGUAUUUGUAUUCCUUAUACUCUAUUCCUUAUACUCUAUUCCAACUGCACUGUGGCUGUUCGCAAACCAACAGUAUGCUUCUCGGACUUCACGAAACCCGAAUUUACCAUCUGCAUGAAAUGUCUUUUCUCUACAUGUUGACCACUUUUACUGUACCUGAAACAGCACUGUCUUUCAAAGCACUUUGCCAUUCAGGUGUCACCGUCACCGGCUAUCAGGAUGCCCACCCACCCACUAUUGGCCAGAUAAAACUUCAGAUGCAUUUGAACUGUGGGACUGACACACCAUUGCCGUUCCAUUACUCCGGACACAUAAAUCACAGAAUCUACUGUAUUACUCUGUGGUUCUCUCUUUUGGCAACUGGGGUGGGGUGGUUUUUUUUUUAGAGAGAGGAAGGAAUAGCACGUGCUUGGAUCUCCUCCACGAAGUCGCACCAGACACACUCUCUUACAAGAGAAGUGCUUAGGUGCUGCUGCCUUCUGAAGUUUAGUACUGCCUCUCCAUUUGGAUUGUUAUAAUAAAUUCUGUAUUAAACUCAAAGCGCACAACAAAUUAGCUAAUAUCUUCUAGAUCACAGCUACUGUAUCUAUGUGUUAGUCUGUUAUAAAGGAAUCUAGAAAAGACUUGCAAGAAAUCCAUAGAUCCCAAAGGCAGAAAGAUCAUUAUAAUCACUUAGUGUGACUUUCCAGAGAGCAAUAAGGGUCACUUCAGGACUUCUGCACAAUCUCUGGACCUUGGACUGGGCUGCUGUAAUCGGUUGGGGGAAUAACUCCCCAUAAACAUGCCGUAUUUUGUCAGAAAAAUAUACGACUAAUUGUUUUCACUGUCUGAGGUACCGUUCGACACCUGACAUGCCUUGCAGAACAGCCAUCCAGCCUGAACGCCCAAGCCCACCAGCGAGUCAUUCACACCAGAAACCCGCUUUUGAGAAAAGCUCCGUGUUUUUGGUUCAAAGACUUGUGGUGAUGGAAAAGCAACCACUGGAACAAUUUACCAAAGUUUUCCCACUGUUUUGCACUUCAUAUCUUAGAUGAUGUCCAGGCUGAGUUACCUGUGGUUCUUUUGUUUAAUACAAUUGACAGCUUAUGAUUUUUCUGUCCACCUGCAAAAUAUUUUGAAACUUGAUGAGCUGCCUUUGUCCUGCUCUGGCUCUAGAUAUGAAUCGACAGUUUUGAGGGCUACAAAGGGACCACGGUCACCUUUGUCAGUAGUGGCCUCAAUAACAAAACUGUGGCUGAUUAGACACUACAAGUAAUUUUUAUAAUGUUUGGUCCUAAACCAUUCCAGUAUAAGCGUUGCUGCUAAUUAGGAACUGCAUAUUCAAUUGCAGUAAAAGGUUUUAUGCUACAAAUUCAGCGAGCUAACACCAAAAAAGUCAGUCACCCCAAGAACCCAGCAAGGUCCAAAGAGGAAUCCCAAAACCUGAGCUGAAGAUGACACCUUCAAACUGCUUCCUCCAGCACGAGACAGAUCUAAUCCUUGUAUCUGCCCUUGUUCUAGGGACACUUGCCAUGGAAUUCCUUGUGUUUCUGACAGGCCUCAUGCUGUGGGGUUUGAAUCUCCCACGCAUCACUGUCCAGCUCGGCAUUUGCUUCCACCCCCUCCUGCUCCUCGUCCUCGUCCUCGCUUUCUUCACACAAGUUAUUGCCCAGCUGACGACUCCAAUACGUCUUUCGUAGCCACUCCAACACAACAUCACAACCUAAGGGAGAACAGAAAACAUUCUCUUCUCAGGGACGUUUUCUUUGUUACUAGAAAAAAAAAGCAUACAGGUGGCACAUUGCUAACCUGCAUUGUGAAAAGAAAUGCUGUUGACAAGUUACAAACCCUGAAAUCACAUACAAUUCCAUUAAUGAAAAAGUGAAUGAGGGUUUUUUUUAAAUAACACAACAAAAAAAACCCUACAACCUGUUACCAAGGUGUCGCGGUUGAGACGGACAAACAACAUAGACCAAAUGCUUAAGUACAAACAGCAGCCUCCAUUUAUUGCCACAAAUGCCCUUUUAUGUAGUCUUUACCAGCUCAUGUGUCUUUUUGCUAUUGGUUACAGGCUGCAAUAGUAACAUCUCGUUGGCUAAUUUUGCUGUUGUCACUGUUACUCUUUUACUCCCUUCUCUCUCACAGGUACACCUUAAUACCUCCAGAUACUCUUUUACUCCCAUCUUUCUCAUGCGCAGACCUUAAUAUCUUCAAAGCUAAUUUCUGUUCCCAUACCCUCCUUCGGGGAAUCCACAGAUCCACCGUGGUUUCCCACAUCACGGGCCUGGUAACACCCACCCACUGCCUUUUUGGCAACAAAAAGGACUGGACACCGCUACAGCGCUGCACCUUCUUCAAGUUAGGCCACAUUUAAGCAGAAACUAAGUCCCAGCAGGAGAGUUCUGAUAAGAAAAUGAGUCAAUUCUUUAGUGUCACCAUGACCAACAUGGUGUCUAUAAUAGUAACGUUAAUUUUUUGUGCAGAGAUGACAUUAGGGGUAUAUUAGAAUGUAAAGAAAACCCCUUUUCUCCCAUCACUGUUUUCAGUAUCCAACUCAGUCUAAGGACCCUGACGAAGGUUGUUUAACUGGCUCCUCAGUGCUUAACCCCAAAUUCCCAGGAAUUCCUUCAAAUGCCAAGAGCUGGCGAUUCAGACUUAUAGUACCUACUGCACUUCUUCCUAAAUGGGAUUUUUUUUAAGUCUCAGGAGUCUCUAAACCAUCAGGAAAAGCAUUUACCUCCUUCCCAAGAUGAACUUCCUGUGCUAUAAGGAAGCAAGAGGGCUGAACUAUUGUUUCCAGUAUUUUUUCCAAGGGAAGGAAAGUCUCUGAGCACCUGCCCUGUGACGCACCAGAGGCUGGAGCCACCGCACACAGCUCAGCUGUCCCCCCGGGCCAGUGACAAGCCCCCCCGGUGCCUCACUCCAUGCUGUCCCUGCCAGGACCAGCCCACGGCUCGUCCCACACCCCCCAGAACGGUGGCGGUGCUCCCCCAACCCCCCCCGGCACCGGCACCCUGGUCACCGCCAGCAGCACUCACCCCUGCGGCACAGAGCCAGGUGCGGCAGCUUCCCGUGGGUCAGCUCAUGGCGGAGAUCCACCACCCAGAUGGGGAUGUCCACCUGCAAGAACAGCCGCAGCGUCACCCGGCUCCCUGUGCACGCCGCCAGGCUGCACAACCGCUGCCUCUUCGGGCGGCUCCUGCGCCGCAGCACGCAGGGCUGAGAGCCCCUCGAGCCCCCCUCCGGCCUCGCGUCCCACAAACUGGGGAUGCUACAGGGGAAGUUCUUCCAUGUUACUUGCAACAGCAGAUGUCUUUUUAGACAGAGGUGCUGUGUGUAAUUUAGCAAGAUACUGAGAAGCAGUUAAAUUAUAUUUAAACCGAUGAAAUGUUCUGGAUGACAGUUUGUGUAUCAAAGAUACAAACCAUGUCAUAUAUAAUACACAAAUCAUACACACUCUAGGUUGCGUGCAAUUUUUUUGCAAUUUUCCUAAGGACAGCCAACCUAAAUUAUGCAAGAUCUCUGUUUUUAAGCUUGAUCAGUUUUCAAUGGUGAGAAGCAGCACCUUUCUUAGAAACCCAGAAAAAAACACAAUCAAUUCACCAUUGACACAGACAAGGCUGCAUAUAUAGGAGAGUCCCAAAUACUGUCUUUUCUUAAUUUUCAAAACUUCCUGUUCAGACCCAGAUAUGAUGCUCAGUGCAGCUGGCAAUAAAAGGACUCAAGCUGGUCCUGCUACUAGAGACACUGUGACCCUUCCCUCCUCCGCAGACCUCACUUCAAGCAACAGGCACAAGAUGAAAAUGCCUGCAAAUGUGAUUAAGGGUUUUUUAAUACAAAAAUCUGCUUGUCAAAGACUACAAUUUAUAAACCAUGAAUUUAACUCUUUUUCCAUAUCUCAGUAGCUAAGGAAAAUAAAGAAGUGUGGCAUAUGUGUCAAGUGGGACUAUUUACACGCAAAUCAAGACUUUUGAUCACAUGAUUCAAAAUGUUUUAAUGAUAAUCAGCCUUUGUUACUCUUAAUCUGACUUUAAAGAACAAAGUUUUAGAACUAGUUACAUCAAGCCUCUUUAAAAUUUUGCAUUUGGAAAGAACUGGCAUCUAUAACCACUACUUCGGUUACAAAGGAAUGACCCCCCACUACUCCCUCCACCCAGUGUUGUUAACAGACAAUGCAUAUGCUCUCUGUAUAUACAUAAGUUAUGCAGAAACUCUUAUGAAACAUUUACCUCUCUGGCUAAUUGUCUCAGCGGAAUGCUGACCAUCUUCUGUUUCCUUUCUGUGAUCAAGUUGACAAAUCUGCACACAGGUAACAGGCAAGAUAAAUGACCACCAAGAGCUGCAAAGAAUCCUGGAACCCCAGAGACAAAACCCCCCGUGGUCCCAAAGAUGCAAAGUGAAAUCAGACAGCUGAACAAUCCACUGCCCAGGUCUCUCUCCGGCCCCCAGAGUCCUCCCUACCUCACAAGCGCCAGCCCAUAGGAGAGGAUGAGCUCAUGCGACUUCAACCUGCCGGAUGAAUCCAGGACCUUGCAGCGAAUCAGUUCGGCAGUGCAAUCCACUGCAAGCGGCAUUUUGGGACCAUACCUGGAGAUGAAGGAAAAGCGGGUGAGCGGCCUCUCAAGAGUACAGUCCCUCUGCAAAAGGUGUGCCUCUCCUGCUGCUUUUUGUGCUCUGUGGUACACAACAGCCUAAGAACACCGUGCAGAAGGACAGCAUCAACGAAUCUUUCCAGAAGGCUUUUAUGUGGAACAGCACGAUCACAUGGCUCCUGCUACGCAUAUUUUAAAUGAGCACUUACUGACACGCUAAGCACACAGACAAUACAAGACGCCAAACCGAGACUAGUCUUGCGUGUGGGUGCAGUACGACCAACACAACCAGAACAAGGCGAUUUGGGCCCCCGGGUGCGCACCCUGCAGCCUCUGCCUCGAGAAACGCGCGGGCUCGCAGGGCCUGUGCCCCCGCCGGCCCGGCCAGGCUGCGCUGCGCCCCGGGGCCGCGGCACGGGGAGCCCGCCACCGACAGGGGCUGCCCCCGGCGGCACCGGCCACCGCCGCGCACAGCCCGGGCCGGGGAAGCGGGGCGCCCGGGGACAGCGGCCGGGAGGCAGCGCGGCCCCGCGGUCCCACAGCGCGGCCCCGCGGUCCCACAGCGCGGCCCCGCUCGCGGUCCGCGGCCCGUACCGACUCUUCCAGGCCGAGACCCGGUCCAGCGCCUCCUGCUGCAGACGGCUGUCCCCGCAGUACAGCCCCACCAUCACCUGGUCCCACUCCGCCCGGCCCCUCCACGCCACCACAGUCCGCAGCGGCUUGAGCCGCUUGCGGGCCGGGGACGAGCACCGCCGGCCGCGGGGAGAGCCCGGCUCCGCACCGCCCGCCAUGCCGCUGCCUCUGGCCCGCCGCUCCCUGCGCUGCGCCUGCGCCGCGCCGAGCCGAGCCGAGCCGAGCCGAGCCGAGCCGAGCCGCGCCGAGCCGCGCCGAGCCGCGCCGAGCCGAGCCGAGCCGCGCCGAGCCGCGCCGAGCCGAGCCGAGCCGAGCCGAGCCGAGCCGAGCCGAGCCGAGCCGCGCCGAGCCGCGCCGAGCCGAGCCGAGCCGAGCCGAGCCGAGCUUCCGGCUCCCGCCCCUGGCGAGCUGGGUGGUGGCCGCGGUGCUUUGCGGGUGGGCGGCGGAGGGUGCGGGUUUUGCUGCAGCCUCGGCGGUUCUCGGCCCGCCUGGCAGCGCCGGGCUCGCCCGAGGGCUGCAGGACUCGUCUCCCGGGUGGGUGGGAUCCCCCCAGCGAUGGUCACAGCCGGGAGGCGCUUUGGGUGUUGUGAAGGCGAUGCGGGACGGACGCGUCCUGCUCUGUUCUGGGGCGGUGGGGUGUGUUUGGGGUCCGGGUGGAGGGGAAGGGCGGCCGGGGGGCUGCAGGGCAGGCUGCUGCUCCUGGGGGCCCGGACCUCCCAGCCUUGGCUGUGUGCAUUUGCGCUUGCAGAACAGUCAACCGCUCGGCUUCCCAGUAGCAGCACUUCACAGAUCUUGACAGCAGGCUGAAUCAUUAAAUUGUCCAAGUUAUAAAUUGUCUUAUCUUUGGAGGCUUUUUUUUUUUUAAACUUCUCUCUUCACAGAACCCCAGAGUGUCAGGGGUUGAAGGGGCCUGGAAAGCUCAUCCAGUGCAAUCCCCCAUGGAGCAGGAACACCCAGAUGAGGUUACACAGGAAGGUGUCCAGGCGGGUUGGAAUGUCUGCACAGAAGGAGACUCCACAACCCCCUGGGCAGCCUGGGCCAGGCUCUGCCACCCUCACCAGGAACAAGUUUCUGCUCAAAUUUAAGUGGAACCUCUUGUGUUCCAGUUUGAACCCAUUACCCCUUGUCCUAUCACUGGUUGUCACCGAGAAGAGCCUGGCUCCAUCCUCCUGACACUCACCCUUUAUGUAUUUAUAACCGUUAACAGGGUCACCCCUCAGUCUCCUCUUGUCCAGCUCCAGACCCCCAGCUCCCUCAGCCUUUCCUCACACGGGAGAUGCUCCACUCCCUCCAGCAUCUUGGUGGCUGCGCUGGACUCUCUGCAGCAGUUCCCUGUCCUGCUGGAACUGAGGGGCCACAGCUGGACACAAUAUUCCAGGUGUGGUCUCCCCAGGGCAGAGCAGAGGGGCAGGAGAACCUCUCUGACCUACUGACCACCCCCUUCUAACCCACCCCAGGUCCCAUUUGCCUUCCUGGCCACAAGGGCACAGGGCUGGCUCAUGGUCACCCUGCUGUCCCCAGGACCACCAGGUCCCUUUCCCCUACACUGCUCUCUAAUAGGUCAUUCCCAGCUUAUACUGGAACCUGGGGUUGUUCCUGCCCAGAUGCAGGACUCUAACUGACCUGUUGCAUAAUCCCAGGAAUACACUUGUGUCAGAGGUCAGAAACAAAACAUGGGAUGGGCAAAAGCACUGGAGGUGGCAGCCUGCAGGAGUUACUGACACUGGUGUUGCUAGUGGAAAAGGUAAUGCUGCAGGUUCUGGUGCUGGCUGCAGCACGGAACAGCAGCUUGGUCUUUUCCAAGGCUGUCAGGACUUUACAGUAGCUUAAGCUCUUUUGUUCAAUAGUCUGAAGCAAGUGUUUGUUUGCAAAACUGCUUACAUCCUCACCAGCUUUUUAUGAACAUUCUCUGAAGAAAUGCUUAUACUGGAAAGCUUGAACUCCUUUUAUAUUCUAGCACAAAUGCAGUUAAUGAAGGCCCCGCUAAUUUAGGCUGAUGAGUAUGCCUGAGUGCGUGGUUGAGACUGUGUGCAUCUGAAUACGAGUGAAUGGGAAAAAUCAUGCAAAUUCUGCCCUGUACAAAAUAUUGCAUUAAAUGCCAAAGAUUAUGGGAAAGAAAUGCUGAAUGAAUCAUCUUAAAAUACCAUAUUUGAAAAAUGCCUCAGUUCAUUACAGUUUCAGUCUCUUCGCCCUUGUGUCCCUCCAGUCGAGUCUACCUUGUUCUUCGGUUUUGAUAAAUGUAGGCCAAUUGUCACAACCAGUAAGCAAUCGCAUUGUGCAUCACUUGUUUUGUAUGUUCUGUUUUUAUUAUUUUAUCUUCCUUUGCUGUCCUAUCAAACUGUUCUUACCUCAAACCACGAGUCUGUGCGGUUUUUCCUUUCCAAGUCUCUCCUCCAUCCCACGUGAGGCGGGAGGAGUGAGCGAGCAGCUGUGUGAUCCCAGUUGGCUGGAGUUAAAUCCUGACGCUCCAACAAUGCCUCAUGUAGUGAAAGUGAAUUCUCAGAAGACGUGAGGAAGGGACAAAACUUGGACCAGGGCCCUGUUCUCUGGGAAUGGAGUUGCGCUUUUCAUCUGCUUAAAAAUGUUCUGAAAGGACAAGCUGUUUACUGCAAUCAAAGGGUCUUAUUCAGAGCGUAGGAACACCAUGUGUCAUUUUGCUUGCCAGACUAUUUCUGGGUUUCAGAAAUGACCUGCAGUACAAAGGCUGUAAAGGCAAACAGUGCAGUGCUGUGGAACAGAUAGGAUACAUCAAACUCGACUAGAUCACCUGCUUCCGGAGCUUCAGAGAUGUAUCAGAAAUUAAAUUAAAAGGAGUAGUUUUCAUUCUUAUUCUCUCUGGAGAGGGAGAAAGAUGUGUUUGUGUGUCUGUUACAGAGAUGGAAGGGAGCAAGGGCUGAACCAGCACAGAGUGCAGAUGCUUCGUGUGCUCGCGGGUCUGGAUCCAGGGGAACGGUGCUGAGGCCAUGCUGGCGAGGUCAGGCUGCUCGGCUGCUCGGGGCGGAACCGCGAGGUAAAGGGCAGAGACGGCUUGUUGCCCACCGUGUCCCACACAAGCCUGGCAGCAGUCUGCCGUUCAGGCUCCUGCACCUUGCCGUGGUGGUGGCCGAGGGAAGAGGCCGGGACGUCUGCGGCGUCUGCGGCGGGAGGCUGGGGCGCUGUGAGCAGAGCAGCGGGUGGCGGAGCAGCUGCCGUGUGUCCGGGCUGGUGGCCGUGUCCUUGUUGGAGCGUUGUUCUCCGGAGCGGGGAGCAGCUGCUGACAGCGCGGGACCGAGGGAGAGGGGCCUCUGCAUCUCCUCACUGCUAUUGGCUGGGUUUGGUUUUGGCAUCUAUGAGACUUGAGCUUUGGAGACCAGCCAUGGAACAUCCUGUUUUCACUGGAUUUGUUUCUGUUCUUCCCAGUCUCUUCUCCUUUCUUCUGGUUGCAGAGUUGCUGUAAUAGCACCAAGAGAUCCUCGGUUCCCCUCCUUUAGAAUAAUGUCAUAAAGCAGGCCUUGAGUUUCUUCCAGCUAUGUUGGAUUUUGAAGAGCGAAAGAGAGAGGGGAUGUAUGACAGGAGAUAAGCAACUGAACGUGGAACAUGCUUUCCAACGCCAGAGGCCGUGGCAGCAGGUUCUGGUGUUGUCCUGAGGUGUCAGCCAGCCCCAGAGGAGGAGGCAGCAUGUUCUGCAUUCCUAUCUAGUCCAGGAAUCCUGCGUAUAGAUUCCAGGUAAACAAGAACCUAUGAGGACCUGCACCUCCCUCACAGAUGGAAGGCUCCAAGGAAAAAGUCAUCCUGAAUAUUGGAGGGGUCAGAUACACGACAUACAGCAGCACCCUCCGGACCUUCCCAGGGACCAAGCUGUGCAGCCUAACUGAGCCCCAUGCCCCAAGCACCUACGACUAUGAUCCCACUACCAAAGAGUUCUUUUUUGAUAGGAGUGCUGAGAUCUUCAGCUACGUGUUGAACUAUUAUAGGACCAAACACUUCCACUGUCCCGUUGAUACCUGUAGGUCAGUCUUAGAAGAAGAGCUGGCUUUCUGGGAAAUCAAUGAGGCGCAGCUAGCACCCUGCUGCUGGCUGAAGCUGCAUAACAGAGAGGUGCAGCCAGAGGAGGCUGACAUUUGGGAUGAAAAUGAACAGACUGAUGACCAGUGCCUCAUAGUCCAGACAGAAAGAAGGGAUUUCAGCUGGCGAACCAGGUGGCAGCCAAAGAUUUGGUCUACGUUUGACAAACCCUUCUCCUCUUUCAGCGCUAAGUGCGUGGCGUUUGUUUCUCUGCUGUUCAUCGUUGGAAUUGUCAUCAUAUUCUGUGAGGAGACCAAGGCACAGUUUGAGCUCUUUGCUGCCAACUCCACCUCUGUUGGCUAUUCUGAAGCCUCUCACAACAGCCAUGAACACUUUUACCACCAGGCUGCCUACUUGCUUCAUCUGGAGCUUUUCUGUGUCCUCUGGUUUACUUUUGAGUUCUCUGUGCGAUUUUGUUUCUGCCCAGACAAGAAGCUGUUCUUCCAAAAUCCCCUGAACGUGGUUGACUUCCUCUCCCUCUUUCCAGUUUAUAUCGAACUCUUUGUGGCUGGGCAGAUUCAGAGGAUGCCAAGCCUGGGGCUGUGGUUGGGCCUUGUUCGCAUUGUCUAUCUCCUCAAACUCCUGAAGAUAUCCAAGCUGAUAGAAACGCCACUGAUCCUCAGAGUUCUGUGCUACACCCUCAAGUCUAUCCUCAGAGAGAUUUGCAUCCUGCUGAUGAUUUUGGCCUUUGAGACACUCUUCUUUGGCUCUCUCUUUUUCUACGGGGAGCUGCUGGGGAGCCAUCCCUCCUACACAGGGGAGCUGCACUUUGCUGACAUUCUUCUUUGCUUCUGGUGGGCUCUGAUCACGCUCACCACGGUGGGCUAUGGAGAUAUCAUCCCUCUCACCACAGCUGGCCAAGUGACAGCAGCCUUAGCUGCAGUGUUCGGCAUGUUAACUGUUAUCAUCCCAAUACCCAUUUUCAUGGUGAAAUUUAGAAGCUAUUAUGACAUUGCUAUCUUUAAACAGAAGCUGAAAAGGAGGAAGAAGCAUUAACACUUCAGAACCUCUAUUCCCCUUUGCCUUUAGCAACGAAUCUUUGUUAUGGUUUAUUCCCUUUGCUGGGAAGAGAGUGCAAACAGUUCUCACUUUUAUUUGCUGCUUUAGUGUAUUUCAAACCAUUGGCAAGGCCUCAGUUGCAGCACUUGGUACACAGCUGAUCAGUUCCGUUGAAUCCCAUGGGUCAUUCCCACAUUGCACUUCAUCCCCUGCUCUUUUAUAUGCCACAGUUUCUCAUGUAGCUGUUUGGAGACGGGCCGUGAUGCUGCGUUACAGCCUGAAUGUGUGCCGCAUGGCUCGGUUCCAUGGCCUGGAGCCACAGCGUGCUCCCGCAGCCGGCGUUCGGCCUCCGCCACCGCAGGCCCCAACCGCACUGCGCGUGCUGGGGGAGAGGCCUUGUGCGCCGUCCUGCUCUCACAGCCAGGAGGAAGCGUGCUAAUUUCUUUUCAACAGUGUUUUGUUUUCCUGUUUUACCUAAACAAGGCCGUGCCUCUGAUUUGCCAGCACGCGCAUCCGGACGUGGAGGAGGCUGCAGGGAGCUGACGGUGCUCCCGGGGCCGGCUCGGGGUGACAACCCACUCUGUGCGCCACGGGAACCCCCGGGCAUUCGGGUGGCAGCGAGGGAGCCCUGUGGCAGCAAACUCCUUUUGGCUCUGCUGGACUCAGCGGCAGCCUGUGCCUGAGAUCAGCGUUUCACUGGACACUUCCAGUGGCGCAGCACAUUUCAGCCGUUCUUGAUUUUUAUGUAACAGUCACUGGGCUAUUAGACAAAAUAUCUACAUGUUUUUGUCGUUCAAAGGGAAGAACACAAACUACAGUACUCGAUAUAAUUUUAAGGUUAUUUCAUUUCUCAAGGCAUGGAUAUAAGCUAGGAAUAUUUAUCUUUUAACUGGAUUGUGUUGUUACCUAUGUUUUAUUUUGAAUUAACAAAUAUUAUUGAGGUAUGAAAAAACCCACCUCCCUUUGUUUAUAUAGCAGGAUGAUAUGCUAAGAUUAUUUUGUUGAGUAAGUAAACAUUUCUGUAUACAAUAA